GAUGAACGCUGGCGGCGUGCCUAAUACAUGCAAGUCGAGCGAACAGAUAAGGAGCUUGCUCCUUUGACGUUAGCGGCGGACGGGUGAGUAACACGUGGGUAACCUACCUAUAAGACUGGGAUAACUUCGGGAAACCGGAGCUAAUACCGGAUAACAUUUGGAACCGCAUGGGUUCUAAAGUGAAAGAUGGUUUUGCUAUCACUUAUAGAUGGACCCGCGCCGUAUUAGCUAGUUGAAGUAACGCUUACCAGGCACGAUACGUAGCCGACCUGAGAGGGUGAUCGGCCACACUGGAACUGAGACACGGGUCCAGACUCCUACGGGA
rnacentral:rRNA from 1 species